GUACACGCUGUGACUAGCAUAUCAAUAAGCGGAGGAAAAGAAACUAACAAGGAUUCCCCUAGUAACGGCGAGUGAAGCGGGAAGAGCUCAAAUUUGAAAUCUUAAAGGGUUUCCCUUUACGAAUUGUAGUUUAAAGAAGUGUUUUCUGUUGAGGUUUUGGUAAAAGUUCUUUGGAAUAGGACAUCAUAGAGGGUGAGAAUCCCGUAUUUGACCUUUACUUUCAACUUUGUGAUACACUUUCAAAGAGUCGGAUUGUUUGGGAAUGCAGUCCAAAAUGGGUGGUAAAUUUCAUCUAAAGCUAAAUAUUGGCGAGAGACCGAUAGCGAACAAGUACCGUGAGGGAAAGAUGAAAAGAACUUUGAAAAGAGAGUUAAACAGUACGUGAAAUUGUCAAAAGGGAAGCGCUUGACACCAGUGUUGUUUUUCUGAAAAUCAAUUAGAGAACUGUUUAUGCUAAGUUGUUUAGACUUUAUCAGCUAAUCUGUUUAGUUUUGAGCUUUUCUUUAAUGCACUUUUCAGUUAACAAGUCAACAUCAAUUUCUUUUGCUGUAAAAAAGCUUGAGGAAGGUGGCUUGAGAUUCGUCUUAAGUGUUUAUAGCCUCUUGCCUAUGCAGUCGGAGAGAUUGAGGUCUGCAGCGUAGAUCCUUCGGGGCUAAAUGCAUUUGUGCUAAGUUAUAACAUUUUAUAGACAACUUGUUGACUAUGAUUUGUCUUGUAGCUUACUCGCUUAUGUUAUUUUACCUACGCUUAGGAUGUUGAAUCUGUGCGAGACUAC
rnacentral:rRNA from 1 species